UGUAGGUCCAAAAGGCAGGGAUGAGGCCAACUUUGGAAGAUCACAAUAAUAGCAUGUAACACAUGCCAUCUUCAAAGGACUAAUGAAUCCCUACAGGGUUCCCCUAUUAUUAUUUGCAUUUCACAGAUGGAUACAUUAAGAUGCAGAAUAUGCUGCAUUAUCCUCUGGGUCACACCUAAUUCAUUCUAUUCAUCCCUGGUCUUAUGCUGGAGCUCAUCCCUGCAGUGUGAGAGAUCCUCCCACGAGGCAAAGCAACCCUGCCAUCUCCCAGGCAGGUCUGCUUCAGGAACCACUGCUGUGUCUGGGGUCUGAUUUGCACAGCACACCACACUGACUGGCCCUAUUGAUCUCUCCUGACCUUGAAAACUGGUUAACUUAUCAAUUCUCCUUCCCUCCAAUCAGGAUCAGGAGUACAAGCAGCUCUGGCUUAAAGCUGGAUUGAAUUUUUUAAAACGUACUUUUCUUCUAGAUGUGAAAUUUAAGACAGAGGAACCCAGAGGAGAGAUGCAGCUGAGUGUUCAGCACACAAUCCAGUCUCAUUCCAGCCCCCAGUCUCAGCCAGGCUGUGGAAAGGACCCACCUUCCAGCCAGGACAGCUUCCCCUCACACAAACAUGACACUUGUGACACAGAGCUCUCAUCCCUGAGCAGGAACGUGCUCACGCUGGGAAGUCCCCAGUUUUACCCUGUUACAUUUAACUGUCUCUGGCUUUUUGCUUGCAUUUGAAAACUAUUUCCCAUAGCACAGUAGCCUGUGCACCCAUAUCCAACCCAAUAAACAUCCCAUUUCCCAUUGCAGCUGAAUCACCAGGAUAAUGGUGGAGAUCAGCUAACAAGUGACUGAUGACCAGUGGGAACCAACUGGUCACAGCACUGGCUGACUUGGAAACUGGCUACCAGGAGUGACACAUGGCAGGCAACAGCAUCCCAGAUCUGAAACAAGGGCAGGAAAGGCCUGAAUCAGUGCUAUUUCAAUUUUUUUAAGGAACAUCUAGAUCAUGGUCCAGCCCUUUUCAUCACCAGUUAGGGCCUGGCAGAAGGGUCAAAC
rnacentral:lncRNA from 12 species